GUUCCAAUGAGAAUGAAGGCUGAGGUGUGCGCCUUUUUUUUUUUUCCUUCUUAGUCGUGUGUACAUCAUUGGGAAUGGAGGGAAAUAAAUGACUGGAUGGUCGCUGCUUUUUAAGUUUCAAAUUGACAUUCCAGACAAGCGGUGCCUGAGCCCGUGCCUGUCUUCAGAUCUUCACAGCACAGUUCCUGGGAAGGUGGAGCCACCAGCCUCUCCCUGACAAGCAAAGUGGAUCAGCAAAGGCUGCAGUCACCAGCAUCUUUUCCAACCUUAAUGAACUGUAUCCUCAAAAGAACACUAUCAGACUGGUAAGACAAGCAUUAUUGUCCCACUUCACAGAUGAAGAGCUUGGGGGCCCUGUGGAUGUGUAGGAGAGUCGGCCUUCCUUUUUAUAGGCCUUUUGCUGAGCUCAGAGGACAGAGCAGAAGACAAAGCCGAAUGCAGCCCUAAGCAGACACUAUCCCAGCCCAAGGAGCUAUGCAGACAGCUCCUGCCUAGAGGAGAAACAAUUCUCUCCUUCAGCCAGGCAUGUGGCACAGAGGUGAACAGGAAAUGCUUAGGGAGACAGUUCACAGAUAUAUAUGUACUUCACAGGGCACAAUUUAAUCCAUAAAUCAAUCAUGGAUCACCGCUAAAGAAAACAAAAUAUGCUGCCACUAAUUUGCCACCACCCUGUGAGCAUGAUUGGAUGAUGUUUAUUUUGAUUAGGAGAUUGCUCCAUUUAUAAAUCUUCAAUACAUCCUGUCCCCCUAAAACGGCAUCUGGGUCUUUUGAGGGUUAAAAAAAAAAAAAAGUGAAAUUGGAUGAGGGAUGAGAGCUGGACUUCUGUGUGUCCCGGGGUCCCUGGAUCCACAGCCUGGUGCCUAGCAUCAGUUAAGCCCACGCUGGGGUCGCAUCACAUCCCGCAAAGCCACGUGCUCUGUGAGGCCAACAGGAGCCCCGCCGGGUGGACCAGCUGGAAUCUCAGAGAGCGCCGACUCUGAAACUACCCGGCUCUGCAGAAGCACGCUGGGCCCAGGGGCUUCUAGACUGACAGCUCCAUUUAUCAACUACCUAUUGGUUUUAAAAAUUGGAGUGUCUUUUCCGCGUUGACUGAUUUUGGCUCUAAGAGAUGUCGCUGGUCAUUUCAGAGUGACUGAACCUCCCCUCUAACAGAUCCCGGGAAUUGUUUUCAGGAAAGGUAAAAGGCAGCCUUUUCUGUCACAACACAACGCUGAGCCGGCAGCCUGGCUCUGUCAGGAUCUGGGGCUCCCGCGCCCGAGAAGCCCAGCCUCGCCGGCGGCCAAGUUCACCGCGAGGCCCCGCGCUGCCUGCGCUGCGCUCCCGGACCCGCACCGACCGCAGCGCGCGCCGCCGGUGCUUCUCCCACCCCAGCCUGGAAGCUGCCUCCCUCCGCCUAUGCCUGCAGGAUAAGAAGCCCGAGGAGGCGGAGCAUGGAACUCGACAGUUAAAACAUUUAAGAGAGAAAACCUAGUGUCUUGCUGGCCUGAAAUCGAGUACGCAGCCCGGGGUGAUCAGGGUCUCCCGGCCCGGAUGUGUGAGACUUGCUUCCCCUGGGCAAUAGGCGAUACGAUGCUUUAGGAGGAAGGUGUCUCUCCCUCCUAAGCCCCGGAGGGGAGAACUUCCAAAGACAGAAAACCACAGGCUUCCUGGCACAGAGCUUUCCCUUUAUCAGCUAAAGCAGAAUCUUUUCUGGCCUUAACCUGGCCCCUUCCUCUAACUGCAGGCAGAGAGGCAGACAGAAAAGCACUUGCUGAAACACAAAGUUUUGUUCUGUCCUCAACGAACUGUCUAGAGCUGAUUGCUGAUAGUCGUGGUGCAUUAUGCCUUCCUGGUUUUCAUUUAAUUGGGCACCACGCUGCCUUUCAAGACGCCUUAAAGGAACCAACAACCAAAUCCAAGAGAGCUGGACAGACCAUUGAACACACAGUAGGCUGUGUCUCGUGGCUUUCGUUGUCUGGUGCCUCAAAGAAAACACCAGAAAGAUUGUUUCUAAGCUAGAGCCACCCCAGAUUGCUUAAAGUGCAAAGCUCACUGCUGUUGGGGGUACCCUUGUGAGACACUGGAAAGCUGGUUUUACCGUGGCCCUAUGAAGAGGAAGACUGAAAUUUAGACAGUAAUACCUUUACUAGGAUUGGAAAAGAUUUGGUUAAUGACAGCCCUGUCAUUUCUAAAACCCAUUAUCACUGUAUGAGAGAUUCCUUUGCGCUGCAUCCUCGACAGUGCUUCCUAAGGCUCUGCCGACUUCCAGUUCUGGAACAAGAUGGUUAAACUCAUUUUUCCCUGCUCUGCUCCUCUAAAUACAACUAAGUACCUUGGAAACUAUUCAGCAGACAAUGAUAAAGGGCUCUGAAAGCUAGAAGAAAAGGUGUACUUGCAAGAAACCUCAGGACUUGAGUAACAGCAACAUGGCAGGCCAGAAAGCAGACCCAGGGAGGAUAGCACAUGUCUUCGGCUACACUGGUGAAGGCAUCGUGCCUGCUCCACAGCACAUUUUUAUUCAAGAACAAUCCAUUUCACAGAUGAAGAAACAGACUCAGUGAGCACGUGAUCACUUCUCACAACUAAUGGAGCCAAGAUUCUGUCCUUAUGGCUCCAGAGACCUCUUUUUUUUCCCACUGUACCACAACACUCACCAGGACUGGAGUGCCACCUAUGACCUCAUUGCAUAAUGGAUGGCUUGUCCUCAAAUGGGCCCGGCUGGAGGUACCAUGCACCUUUGAGGGACCAAGGACCCAAGACUUGAGGUAGACACUAUUCCCAGCUGGAUACUCUCAAUGUUGAGGAUAUAGAUGCACAAACCAAUGCAGGGAGGCCUCCAGGAGCCACUGGAGAAGAAAUCUUCAGAUCCUACCAGGCCCAUAGCUGUUGCCUUUGUGGGCUCCUGGGUUAAUUUCCACACAUCAGUGGCCCACCUUAUGAUAUCCUCCCUGCAUGCCACACUCCCGGCCAUGCUCUGUGGACAGCCAUUAUUUCCAGUAAUUGCUAAUGGGAGCCAGUCUCCAAAGAGUAAUGAAUCAGAGGUGUUCCUUGGAAUGUGUUACACUAGGACUUCGCCGAUCUCACAGGCUCCUUUCCAGAUGAGCUGACUGUAAUCUCUGGGAAGCUGGAUCUGGAGGAACAAUGGGAUGGGAUUUGCGGUGACCCUUCCUGCCCUUCUUGAGCAGCUUGUGAACCAGAAGAUGUGCCUGGAGAGAAAGCCUCAUUUGGGGAAGUGCAGUAGUCGAAGUUCUUUAUUUUGAAAAUGGAGAACAACCCUUCUCACAAUCCUGUCUCCCCUUCCCCCUUUCCAACUAGAAUAUCAGCUCCCCUGAACAUGAGUCAGUCACAUUUCAGGGAAAACUGGCUGAUGUUGAAGAAAUCACUUGAGGGCAAACUUUGUCCUUCAAGCUGUGGGUCUCUGAAGUGUAGAGCCAGCAGAUCCCCCAGUGUAGGGACUGGGCCUUCCUUGCCCAUUGAAUGCUUUCUAUACAUGAAGACUUGGAGCUCUUUACAGAUGACAGUAGCCAGUGAGGAAGAUAAAAGAAGAGAAAAGACCCAAAAUGCGGGUUUGCCACUCUUUUUUGCCAGCACCGUGGGGACAGUCACUCUGCCUUCUUUCCACCACCUCCAACUUCACACUCACACGCACACUCUGGUCCCACAGAGCCUGUUUGGUACUUGCCUGACAGCCCACCUUGAAACCAGAUGGUCAUGAACCUGUCACCAAGUCAUCUGAAGAUCUUCCACUGCAACCUGUAUGGCAUCUGCCACAGGGACCAUGGGACAUGAUUGAAGAACCACUCCAGUGCAGUUGAUGAAGGGGUGGGUCUGCACUGGAGUUAGGUGCACCAGGGCCUGGGCCAAGGGUGGGCUGGGUCCAUCUUGUGUGUGGUGGUCUUCUUCAGAGUAGCAGCUGAUUCAGAGGGAUUCCAUAGAACUGCACAGGCUAGGUCUAGUCAGAUAUCUUGGACAUUUUCUAUUUCUAGAUUAGAGAAUAUAGCAUACGCUGAUUUUAAUAUAACUGUGUAUGUGACUUUUUCAGUGAGAAAAAUUUUAAGUGAUGUUCUAAACAAUUUUUGGCAUGUAGACAGAAUAGUCAAAUAUCUGUUUAACUAGCAACAUAGUUACUCGUGCAUAUUUAAAAUACUACAUGAGUAUGGCCUGGCACAGUGGCUCAUGCCUGUAAUCCUAGCACUCUGGGAGGCCGAGGUGAGCAUAUUGCCUGAGUUCAGUUUGAGACCACUUUGGACAACAUGGUGAAACCCUGACUCUAUAAAAAUACAAAAAUGUAGCCAGGUGUGGUGGUGCGUGCCUGUAGUCCCGGCUACUUGGGAAGCUGAGGUGCAAGAAUUGCCUGAACCUGAGAGGCAGAGGUUGCAGUGACCUGAGAUUGUGUCACUGCACUCCAGCCUAGGUGACAGAGCAAGACUACAUCUCAAAAAAUAAAACAAAAUAAAAUAGGCCCUGUGCCGUGGCUCACGCCUGUAAUUCCAGCAUUUUGGGCAGCUGAGGCGGGCAGACCACCUGAGGUCAGGAGUUCAAGACCAGCCUGACCGACAUGGUGAAACCCCAUCUAUACUAAAUACAAAAAAUUAGCCAGGUAUGGUGAUGCAUGCCUGUAGUCCAAGCUACUUGGGAGGCUGAGGCAGGAGAGAAUGGCUUCAACCUGGGAGGCAGAGGUUGCAGUGAGCCGAGAUUGCGCCACUGCACUCCAGCCUGGGUGAUAGAGCAAGACUUCGUCUCAAACAAUAAAAUAAUAAAAUAAAAU
rnacentral:lncRNA from 1 species